rnacentral:rRNA from 1 species
UACGAAGGGGGCUAGCGUUGCUCGGAAUUACUGGGCGUAAAGCGCGCGUAGGCGCCACGCAAGUCGGGUGUGAAAUCCCGGAGCUCAACUCCGGAACUGCACUCGAAACUGCGCGGCUUGAGGUAGGUAGGGGAGAUCGGAAUUCCUGGUGUAGCGGUGGAAUGCGUAGAUAUCAGGAGGAACACCGGUGGCGAAGGCGGAUCUCUGGGCCUUACCUGACGCUGAGACGCGAAAGCUAGGGGAGCGAACAGG